rnacentral:rRNA from 1 species
GACGAACGCUGGCGGCGUGCUUAACACAUGCAAGUCGAACGGAAAGGCCCUGCUUUUGUGGGGUGCUCGAGUGGCGAAGGGGUGAGAAACACGUGAGUAACCUGCCCUUGACUUUGUGAUAACUUCAGGAAACUGGGGAUAAUACCGGAGAGGAGCUCCUGCAGCAUGGUGGGGGUUGGAAAGUUUCGGCUGUGGUGGAUAGACUCGCGGCUUAUCAGCUUGUUGGGGGGGUAGUGGCUUACCAAGGCUUCGACGGGUAGCCGGCCUGAGAGGGGGACCGGGGACCUGGCGACUGAGAGACGGCGCAGACGCCUAUGGUAGGCAGUAGGCGAGAAUAUGGCACAAUGGGCCCAAGCGUGAGGCAGCAAUGCUGCGUGCGGGAUGACGGCCUUCGGGGGGUAAACCGCUGUCGCCUGUGACGAAGCGGUAUUGACGGUAACGGGUAAAGAAGCACCGGCUAACUACGUG